rnacentral:rRNA from 1 species
UACGGGGGGGGCAAGCGUUGUUCGGAAUUACUGGGCGUAAAGGGUCUGUAGGUGGUCUGCUAAGUCAGACGUGAAAUCCCUCAGCUUAACUGGGGAACUGCGUCUGAGACUGAUGGACUUGAGGACAGGAGAGGAACGCGGAAUUCCAGGUGUAGCGGUGAAAUGCGUAGAUAUCUGGAGGAACACCGGUGGCGAAGGCGGCGUUCUGGACUGUUUCUGACACUGAAAGACGAAAGCCAGGGGAGCAAACGGG